rnacentral:rRNA from 1 species
UGGGGAAUUUUGGACAAUAGGGGAAACCCUGAUCCAGCCAUCCCGCGUGUGCGAUGAAGGCCUUCGGGUUGUAAAGCACUUUUGGCAGGAAAGAAACGUCGCGGGUUAAUACCCCGCGAAACUGACGGUACCUGCAGAAUAAGCACCGGCUAACUACGUGCCAGCAGCCGCGGUAAUACGUAGGGUGCAAGCGUUAAUCGGGAUUACUGGGCGUAAAGCGUGCGCAGGCGGUUCGGAAAGAAAGAUGUGAAAUCCCAGAGCUUAACUUUGGAACUGCAUUUUUAACUACCGGGCUAGAGUGUGUCAGAGGGAGGUGGAACUCCGCGUGUAGCAGUGAAAUGCGUAGAUAUGCGGAGGAACACCGAUGGGCGAAGGCAGCCUCCUGGGGAUAACACUGACGCUCAUGCACGAAAGCGUGGGGAGCAAACAGGAUUAGAUACCCUGGUAGUCCACGCCCUAAACGAUGUCAACUAGCUGUUGGGGGCCCUUUCGGGCCUUGGUAGCGCAGCUAACGCGUGAAGUUGACCGCCUGGGGAGUACGGUCGCAAGAUUAAAACUCAAA